UACGUAGGGGGCAAGCGUUGUCCGGAUUUACUGGGCGUAAAGAGCGUGUAGGCGGCCACGCAGGUCCGUUGUGAAAACUGGAGGCUCAACCUUCAGACGUCGACGGAAACCGUGUGGCUAGAGUCCGGAAGAGGAGAGUGGAAUUCCUGGUGUAGCGGUGAAAUGCGCAGAUAUCUGGAGGAACACCGGUGGCGAAGGCGGCAUUCUGGACCGACAUUGACGCUGAGGAGCGAAAGCCAGGGGAGCAAACGGG
rnacentral:rRNA from 1 species